rnacentral:rRNA from 1 species
UUGCUCCUACGGGGGGCAGCAGUGGGGAAUAUUGGGCAAUGGGCGCAAGCCUGACCCAGCGACGCCGCGUGAGGGAAGACGGUCUUCGGAUUGUAAACCUCUUUCAGCAGGGAAGACAAAAGGACGGUACCUGCAGAAGAAGCCACGGCUAACUACGUGCCAGCAGCCGCGGUAAUACGUAGGUGGCAAGCGUUAUCCGGAAUUACUGGGUGUAAAGGGAGCGUAGGCGGGACUGCAAGUUGGGUGUCAAAUCUACCGGCUCAACCGUUAGCCGCACUCAAAAC